rnacentral:lncRNA from 1 species
CUCAGCGAACCCAGCAGCCGCGCACGCGCCGCCCGCACGGGACGUGUCCGGGACGUGUCCGGGCCCGUCCUCACCCGUCCUCGCCCGCCUCGGGGCCGCCCGCGCGGCAGCACGGAGCUCGGUGCCCCGCUGCGCACCGCCGGCUAUCCGGGCGCGGCGCGGAGAAGACCGAGCCGCCGGCUGCAGGUCCGACCCCGCGCCCUUACCUCGUCGCCGCCUCGCCGCUCCCUUCAGCCGGAGGAGGGCCCCGAGGCGCCGCGCGUGACGCCGCGAGUUUACCCUACACAACUCUCGCCCGACCGGGCGCCGAGCCCCGCCCGCCCGCACGCUGCCAUGCGCCCCUCACCGCACCGCUCGGCUAUGCCGCCACGGGCUCCCCUCCGCCCGGCCCGCCCCGCGGGGCUGCGGAUGAUUGACGUGCAGGCGGGCCAAUCGCAGCGCGGGGCGCCUUCUCCACGAGCGGCGCGGGCCCGGCGCUGCGGCUCCCUCUGCUGGCGGCGCCGCCACGCGGUCGGUGUUGGAGGCGAGGCGCGCGUCAGCCGCUUCGUAUCCUGAAAUUUUAGGGGUGUUAUUUCGGAUUCAGUCUUAAAUUUUCAAGCCGUCUUGUGGUAAUUAUCAUCUGAGAGGCUUAAAAUGCUUUUGAGGGGUGCGCUGGAGUAGGAUGCAAGCAGCUGCUAGGGAUGCAAACUUUGUACCUCGUCGUCUGACUGCGCUGCGGGGACGCGGCGCUGGGCGGGCGGCGAGGCGAGGGGCAGCGACUGCGGCGUGCGAUGUCCGAGAGACACGUGGAGGAAGUAUGAGCGAGGGCUGCGGUGUGCGCUUGUGGAAGUGUUUAGAAACAGAAGUGUUGAUAACUGGAGAUGCUUCCAAGAAAUACAUGCAGGAGUCAAGAUACAGCAAAGCAGAACUGUGGUGUUUAAGCAUCUGCUUUGUGAUAGUUCCAGCGCUUGUGUAGCUGCAGACUGACCUAAAGGAAAAAGGUUUAACACGGAUACCGCUCAGGGAUUACACACUCACAAAAACUCAUGUGAUAAUGAGGUGAGAGUGAGAGGAACUACUUCUUUCAAGAAAGAAGGGAGAGUGUUUCCUGUUACACUAAUAUCAGCUUUCCUUUUUUUUUACCAGAAAAUGGUAGGUGCGAGCUGGAUAGCACCUUGUUUUGAAUACAAAGGAUAAUGUAUUUGGCAUAUGAUACUGCCAGUAAAUACUUUUGUAUUUGUUCUUACUACUUUCCUU